UGAAUUGCAGAAUCCCGUGAACCAUCGAGUCUUUGAACGCAAGUUGCGCCUGAAGCCAUUAGGCUAAGGGCACGUCUGCCUGGGCGUCACGCAUCGCGUCACCCCUCCCCCAAUCAUGGUGGGAGAGGUG
rnacentral:rRNA from 1 species